rnacentral:rRNA from 1 species
AGUCUGAUGUGAAAUCCCCCGGCUCAACCUGGGAGCUGCAUUCGAAACUGGCAGGCUAGAGUCUUGUAGAGGAGGGUGGAAUUCCACGUGUAGCGGUGAAAUGCGUAGAGAUCUGGAGGAACACCGGUGGCGAAGGCGACCCCCUGGACUGAGACUGACGCUCAGGAGCGAAAGCGUGGGGAGCAAACAGGAUUAGAUACCCUGGUAGUCCACGCCGUAAACGAUGACUGCUUGGAGGUUGGGCCCUUGAGGCGCGUCUUCCGGAGCUAACGCGUUAAGUCGACCGCCUGGGGAAUACCGGCGCCAGGAUAGAACUCCAAUGAAUUGGCGGGGGCCCGCACAAGCGGUGGAACAUGGGGUUUAAUUCCAUGCCACGCCAAAAACCUUACCUACGCUUGACCUCCAUAGGACUUAGCAGAGAUGCUUUGGUGCCUUCCGGAACU